AACUGUAAAUCACACAAAUAUAUUCCAGUAGAGCCCUACAAUAUAAAUAUAGACCUGGAAACGUGCACGAUAUGGCCCCUUUAAUAACAAUAGCAUACCAUUUAGGUGAGCCAGUUUCUUGGGACUAGAAAGGACUUCUUUUAAUGGCAUUUUGACAUGUCAUUGUAGAAAAAAAAGCAUAGGUAUUACAGCUAAGAUUAACAUCGGCUCUUUUCUAUUCAAGUGUCUCAGUAAGCCAUGACGGUGUGACAGCCAGCCAGCAUGCACAAUAGCAGGACCCCAAACUGAAGCAGCAACAUGCAACACACACACACAGGCAUUAUUCAUUUUAUCAUCACCUGCGCUUUUCCUACUGUGACAUGUCGAAAUGUACUCCAUGAAAAAGGCUCAGUGAAAUGGCUUUGUAGGACACUUGAAUAAACAGCAGAGUCACAGUUAAUGUUAUUAGUUACACCUGUACUUUUCCUAUUACAGGUCAAAUUGUUGGUCUUGAAAAAAAAUGUGUUACUUUCAAGACAACACGUUCCUUAGUUCAACAUAAGUAUCUAGGCCAUGUAAAUGGAAGUUACAGUUGCAGUUUGCAGUUACUCAAAAUGUCAUUGUGCUCAUCAAUGAUUCUCAUUUUAAUUUCAUUUUUAGACUGCAUGCGUGCACAACUAUGUUAAGUACAUAAGUCACCAUUGAAUCAGUUGCUGUAAAUAAAUCAAAUAGACAUUUAAAACAGACAGCUGUUUAAUAAUUUUACAGGCCUUAAAUAGCCACGGUCCACUGCUCACACAGGUGUUUUCACUUUUGGUUAAUUAGGCCUCUUCUCCAGACUGUGUGGGUGUGAACAGACUGUGCUUGAUUGAUAUCCUCACUCCUCUGGACAAUUUACCCAUCUGUCAUUCCAAAAGACCUUUUUCUCAGCAAACAUUUAGACCCUUUAUAGCACGAAAAGCACAGGUGUGAUUAAUAACAUUAACAAUGGCUGAGUUCCAUUAAGUGUCCCAGUAAAUCAUGCCCAUGAUUCAGCAUGCACAAUACUAGAGCCCAGGAACUGGCUCACUUGAAUGAAACACAGUCGUCAUUGAUUUUAUGAAUUACACCUGUGCUUGUACUGCUAUGACAUGUCAAAAUGUCUGCUAUGAAAAAGUUCUGUUAGUGCAUGAAGUUUGAUGACCUCAUAUAAAUAUCAACAUAGCUCCACUUGAACCUGAGCAGACAUCUAAUCAGCCAGAAUAGCAGAUGCAUCUCUUCAGAUCAUUAUAAGCUUCCAGACUGCUAUCCUGCUGCAUGCUGGUCCUCCCCCUCUGACUCUUGGGGCUCCAGAGUGUUUUUCAAAGUGUUUUAAACAGGGACUCUCAGACCAUCUCUGUUUCAGUCAUGCAAAGAGUGCCACUCGUGCAGAGAAUGAGUAAUGGAAGAGUGGGGAGAUCAAUCCUCAUCUACAGACUGCUGGAGUUUAACUUCACUGUUACAGCUUUGUCUGUGUGGGAUUCUCCUGCAGGUGUCGGAAUGCAAGAUCCCUCCUCGAAGGCGACUCCUGGUGGUAAAGUAGGGCUCAGCUCGCCCCUGGGAGU